GAUGAACGCUGGCGGCGUGCCUAAUACAUGCAAGUCGAGCGAACGGACGAGAAGCUUGCUUCUCUGAUGUUAGCGGCGGACGGGUGAGUAACACGUGGAUAACCUACCUAUAAGACUGGGAUAACUUCGGGAAACCGGAUCUAAUACCGGAUAAUAUUUUGAACCGCAUGGUUCAACAGUGAAAGACGGUCUUGUUGUCACUUAUAGAUGGAUCCGCGCUGCAUUAGCUAGUUGGUAAGGUAACGGCUUACCAAGGCAACGAUGCAUAGCCGACCUGAGAGGGUGAUCGGCCACACUGGAACUGAGACACGGUCCAGACUCCUACGGGAGGCAGCAGUAGGGAAUCUUCCGCAAUGGGCGAAAGCCUGACGGAGCAACGCCGCGUGAGUGAUGAAGGUCUUCGGAUCGUAAAACUCUGUUAUUAGGGAAGAACAUAUGUGUAAGUAACUGUGCACAUCUUGACGGUACCUAAUCAGAAAGCAACGGCUAACUACGUG
rnacentral:rRNA from 1 species